rnacentral:RNase_P_RNA from 1 species
CCUGUGCAUCGCUCCGUCGCCUCCUUCGCCUCCGGGUGAAGGGGGAGGAAAGUCCGGGCAUUGCAGGGCGCCGUGCUUCCUAACGGGAAGGGGUGCCGUUGGGAACGACGGCAUCACGGAAAGUGCCACAGAAAGGGAGACCGCCGAUCGUCGCAGCCAAGGGAAGGCCCGCCUUCGCCAAGGCUUCGGCGAGGCAAGGGUGAAAAGGUGGAGUAAGUGCCCACCAGUGCCGGUGGUGACAUCGGCAGCUUGGUAAACCCCACGGAAUGAAAGACCAAAUAGGCCGGGGAUGCGCCGCAAGGCGUGAGAGGACGGCCCGUCCGAUCCCGGCGGGUAGGUCGAUCGAGGUCCGUCGUGAGGCGGAUCCCAGAUAGAUGACGGAGGUCCGCUGCAAGGCGGAUACAGGACCCGGCUUACAGAUGCACAGGCCUU